rnacentral:rRNA from 1 species
UACGGAGGAUGCGAGCGUUAUCCGGAUUUAUUGGGUUUAAAGGGUGCGCAGGCGGCACGGCAAGCCGGCGGUCAAAUCGCGGGGCUCAACCCCGCCCAGCCGUCGGAACUGCCGGGCUAGAGUGGGCGAGAAGUGCGCGGAAUGCGUGGUAUAGCGGUGAAAUGCAUAGAUAUCACGCAGAACUCCGAUUGCGAAGGCAGCGCACCGGCGCCCUACUGACGCUUAGGCACGAAAGCGUGGGUAUCGAACAGG